rnacentral:rRNA from 1 species
CCUACGGGAGGCAGCAGUGAGGAAUAUUGGUCAAUGGGAGAGAUCCUGAACCAGCCAAGCCGCGUGAGGGAAGACGGCCCUCUGGGUUGUAAACCUCUUUUGCCGGAGAACAAAACACGGGACGUGUCCCGUACUGCGUGUAUCCGAAGAAAAAGCAUCGGCUAACUCCGCGCCAGCAGCGGCGGUAAUACGGAGGAUGCGAGAGUUAUCCGGAUUUAUUGGGUUUAAAGGGUGCGUAGGCGGUCCGUUAUGUCAGCGGGAAAAUUGCGGGGCUAAACCCCGACGAGCCGUUGAAACUGGCAGGCUUGAGUGGGCGAGAGGUACGCGGAAUGCGCGGUGUAGCGGUGAAAUGCAUAGAUAUCGCGCAGAACUCCGAUUGCGAAGGCAGCGUACCGGAGCCACACUGACGCUGAGGCACGAAAGCGUGGGGAUCGAACAGGAUUAGAUACCCUGGUAGUC